ensembl:snoRNA
GGCAGAUGAUGUCUGAUUUCGGAUGGUCUUCAGAUGCCUGCCAGAAAGCCACUUGGCAAAGCUGAUGCCAGAAG